rnacentral:rRNA from 1 species
ACGAGUCGCAAGCUCGCGAGAGUAAGCUAAUCUCUUAAAGCCGUUCUCAGCUCGGACUGUAGGCUGCAACUCGCCUACACGAAGUCGGAAUCGCUAGUAAUCGCGGAUCAGCAUGCCGCGGUGAAUACGUUCCCGGGCCUUGUACACACCGCCCGUCACACCAUGGGAGUUUGUAACGCCCAAAGUCGGUGGCCUAACCUUUAUGGAGGGAGCCGCCUAAGGCGGGACAGAUGACUGGGGUGAAGUCGUAACAAGGUACC